GGUUCCGUAGCUCAACUGGAUAGAGCAGCUGCCUUCUAAGCAGCAGGUUCUGCGUUCGAGUCGCAGCGGAAUCACCA
rnacentral:tRNA from 1 species